CUACACCUGCCGUGUACGUGAAACCGACACGGGGUUUUGAGCCAACAUUUUGAUAAAGAGGGGUCUGUUGUCCAAGAGCGACAACGCGGUAGCCUUCGGGCAAGGCUGAGUUGUUCGGCAGGACCCCACCUGCGUAAGCAGGGUCAAAACCAGCGGUCCACGGCACGGCGGGGCUGAA
rnacentral:other from 1 species